GAUUUAUUGAGAAGAGGUGAGAGAACAGGCUCCUAGACCCUCUGGCAACCAUCAUCAACUAUUGAGAACGGUGCCAAGUCCUGCCCCAAGUAUAAUGAAUGGGAAAAAUAAAUU
rnacentral:ncRNA from 2 species